GGAUUAUAAUCCUUGAAGAAUUCGUGACGGAAGUGGUAUAAAAAUAGGAUUGCCUACAAUUUGAGUGACGUCACACGAUGGAGACUUCUAAAAUUACAUGAGAGCCGAUGAAAAAUAUUAUUUCACUUUUACGCUCCAUUUUUCAACUAUAUUACAAACGUAUGUAACUGGGACAGUUUGUGACGCGAGUGUCUUUAUGUCGGAAUAGUUUUAACUCGAUGCAGUGAGGUGAUAUUAUAAGUUGUUGCUUUAGUUACGAGAAUCUCAUAUUAUUUCGUAAUAAUAAAAAUGCAAAGAAGGCGCCCAGCCAGACUGAAAUCGAACUAAGAUAAUCAGAACAAUGCCUGUAGUUUCACCAUCCAGAUACACGCCCACCACCUCCACCCUGACUGGCUCCUACCGCUCGACCUUGACGUCGUCAUCGAGCAUUGACAAGCCCUACUACAGAAGCAGUAGCGGUACAUACGUCACGUCAACAUUGAGAAGUAGUUAUGGAGACAGAACGACUGAAUACAGAUCGAGAUUCAGUGACGUUGAUGGGAAAAGGGAAAGAAAAACUUCACUCGUCGAAUAUUCUCGAAGCUCUAGAGCACCGAGUGUAACAGAUUCGGAUAGCGGCAUUUCUAGUCGAUACAGGUCUGAACGUAGCGAGUCCAGAUCGAGAGAUGUGUCGACGACGAGGAGCGAAAGCUCUCGAACAUCAGACCUUAAUCGGGGCAAGAGGAAUAUCAUUAGUACGGCCGCGUUGGCUAUGUCAACUGCGGAAUUGUACAACAAAUAUUCGCCAGCGAACUAUGUGCCCUUAACUCAGAGAAUACAACAACAAAGUCAGAAUAAUUAUGGUGAAAUAUCGAGAUCUAAGUCUAUAUCGAAUGACAUCGGCAGGCCACCAGCAUCGGAUUGCAGAUCUAGGAAGCCCAGGAACUCGGCGGCGACUAUUUCAGAGAAACCGGAAAGCAGAAGAUAUAAGGAUAGCUCGCCAACAACUAGCUACAGCAAAAGGAACUCUAUGACGAAUGGUGUUAAAGACAGUAAUGGCAAUGAGGUGUCUUCCGUAUCUGAAAUACGGAAAAGGUUCGACCCUAAAAUGACUGUUACAAAACUGCCCGCUAAUGAUGCAAGAUAUUCUUCCAAAACUAUGGAACAUUAUCUAAAUCAGCUCAAAGAGUGUGAAAACGGAUCGACUGGUUACACGAAAAUUAAUCCAAAAGAUGAUCAACCUGUGCCCGUUCAUUUGCCAUACACUGAGAAGAACGGAGUUACCAGCAGGUGGGAUGUAGGUUCUCCAAAAUCUAGGUCUAGUUCUAAUUCAGAUCUAACUCUUAGUAAGACAAUAUCCGAACCGGUUUCCUUGGCUAAGCCAUCGGUAGAUAAGAGUGUCAAUAUGUCAACGUCGCUGACAUCUAAAGUUACAGCUAACAUCAAAAGUCAGCUGGACCCAAACAAUCCAAUAGGCAAGAUUCUAGAAAAGUCGACGGUCAUCCAAGUUGAAAACGGCGAUUUAGAUCACGCCGAACGUAGAAGAAUAAGCAAAAGUCCAGAGAUUAAGAUAAAAGAUAUAAAAAGUGAUAUAGAAAAGCAAACGAAAACACCUAAACACACUACAAAUUUCGCGUCAUAUAUCCAAAUUUCUCAACCAGUAGCGUCAGGAGCGACGCCUAAAACAAAGCACGUUGAUCACAUCAACGAUGACAGUUUAAAAAGUAAAGAAAAUAAAAAAUCUAUCAAAUAUAUCGACUCGGAGGAAGAUCGCUCAAUUCUAGAUACUGAUAUUGAAUCACCAAGUGGAACUGGUUUCGAAAAUAAGACAUUCGAACACGAGAAUUAUCUCAAGAAGAGAACAGAGAAGAGCGAAACAGAAGAAAAAGAUGAUGGUAUCAAGUCCAUGGAGACCAGCACCGAGAGUACAAUCAGCGAGUCCACAGAGGAUUCUAGUCCUGAAACUCCCUCGUCCAGAAGAAGAAUCCUGGAUAUUAAGGAUUAUGACUACGUGAAAUCGGAGUUGGCUGGAGGUAAGAGCGGCCCCAGCGGUUUCCGCCGCAGCAGCGAAAGGACGGACAUCAGUGAGCGUGGUGAGAAACAGUCCAGUCAUAGUAGCGGCCUCAACGGUCUGCGCAACAUCGGGAACACGUGUUUCAUGAACAGCGUUCUGCAGUGCCUCUCGAAUACGAGACCGUUGUUGGAAUAUUUGACCGAGGAGAAAUAUUCGUCCGAUAUCAACACAACGCUGUCUUGCAUGAAGGGCGCUCUGAUUAAAGCGUUCGCGAGCGUCAUCAAAGAGCUCUGGCGCAGCGGUGAGCGAGACUCGGUGGUGAAUACGACCAGCCUCAAGUCGCAGGUGCAGAGGUUCGCGCCGCGGUUCAUGGGAUACAGUCAGCAGGACGCGCAGGAAUUCCUCCGUUAUCUGCUGGAAGGUUUGCACGAAGACGUGAACAGGGUGACGGUUAAACCGAAGCCGUUGCUCACAGAAAUUGAUGACAAUCUCAGUGACUCGGCGAAGGCGCAAGAGGCGUGGAGUCGCUACUUGCGCACGGAGGACAGUCGCGUGGGCGACAUCUUCGUGGGACAGCUGAAGUCCACUCUUCGCUGUACGCACUGCCAUCACGACAGCGUCACCUUCGACCCCUUCUGGGACCUCAGUUUACCGAUACCUUCGCGAACCGGUAAUUUGAAGCUACAACAGUGCCUCCAACACUUUGUGAGGGAAGAAGAACUUGAUGGCGACGAGAAACCGACAUGCUCGAAGUGCGGAGUUCGACGCAAGUGCCUGAAAUGGUUCACGGUGCAGAAGUUCCCCCAAGUUCUGGUGCUGCAUCUAAAACGGUUCUCCCCCACGGAGCGCUUCCGCGGCAAGCUGUCGGUGGUCGUGGAGUUCCCGCUGUCGGGGCUCGACAUGUCGCCGCUAGCGGCCGCGCCCACGCACGCCACCUACAACCUGUACGCCGUCAGCAACCACUCGGGUACGACGUACUCCGGCCACUACACGGCGUACUGCAAGCACCCUUAUACCGGCGAUUGGCAUGAAUAUAACGACUCUAGAGUGUCGACGAUAUCAGCUCGCGACGUGGUGUCGGCGGAGGCCUACGUGCUGUUCUACGAGCUCGCCCCGCGCGCGUAGCGACCCCCCACAAUUAAGAAAGCACGCUACAGCCGCGCCCUGAGCUAGUUGUCACCGGGAACGUGUACAGCAAACAACAAACAAAAAAUGUAUUGAUAAACUAUUAUUAUUUAUUAUAUUGACACAUAUUGCUAACGGGAUAAAGUUCAAAUUUGUUUGGCACUGUGAUUUUGUGAUUUUAUAUUAUGAUAACGGUUUAAAUUUGCAAAUCGAUUUUGAUUAUUGUCUAAAGCUUUUUGUCUUGCCAACGAUCGUUUAAUGUCAAUCAAUUAUUUUGCUGACCCUCCGAACACAAACAGAUUCACAGACAGUUGCGAAAACAGAAAUUGUGAAGUAGUUAAAUGAAUAUACCUUUUCAAGGGAUGAACAAUCUUAUCCCCUUUUGUAGUAAAUAUGUACUGUUGUCUUAUAUUAUUUAUGUUAACUGACUAUGUAAUACCCGAAAGUCACGAUUAGUGAACUUUUGGAAGGAAUUUUUGUCAAGCUUGUUGGCGUGGUUGGUAGAUAUUUCACGGCGAAGGUUGUGGGUUCGAUUCCCACCCAGUACAUACAUUCACAAACAGUCUGUUUGUCCUGAGUCUGGGUGUAAGUAUCUAUAAAAGUAUUUUGGGAUCAGAUGGCCGGGUGUGAAUAAUGUCCCAGGAUAUUAAAAAAAAAAUAAAAAAUUGUGAUAUAACCACCAUUAAUUAAAAAUGUUUUGAUUUAUAGCUUAAUUGUGCAUCUAUUUAUUAUAAUUAAAAUCUUAUUAUAAAUGGGUUUUAUGUGUUCAAAAUACGACAAGCAAAAUUAAAUCAUUUUUCCCAUAAUAAUUAAAUUCAAUUUAAAGUACUCGUGUUAUUUUAAAAGAUUCAAAUUUAAGUCUUAUCCCGUUAGCGAUAUGGCUUAUAAUCAAAUGAUAUAUAACAAGAUUAUUCUCGAGUAAAAAAUGUAUUGAAAGUAAUUUGUAACAUAUAUAACGAUUUUUGCUUACCACAGAGUUUUAAUAUAUUUUUAAUUAACGAACGGCCAUACAAUAGGACGAAAAUAUUAUAAUGACUUAUACAAUUAUAGUAAUAUAAAUAAAUAGUUACAUAUCACUGUUUUUAUUUUUAAAUUUAUUUAUUCUUUUUUUUUUUAAUAUUUAAAACGAACGCUUUAAGUGAUUUUGACAUGUGUCAAAAGUAGUACGAAUUCGCGCCUUCUUUCUUAACAAUUAUUAUGUGUAAUGUUUUUUUUUUAAUUAGAAUUUUGACAUAUCGAUCAAAAUGGCGUCUAAUAAUAUUUACAAAUAAUAUGUGUUUUGGAAAAGGUGUCAAUAUAUGCUUGGUUCAGAGUGUUAAUAUAUCAUGUAGAGUAUAAUUUCCAAAGGUUGAAAAAUUAAAGCGUGCGCCACACAUUUGUCUUCGUUAGAACAUCAGAAUCAAAUUCGUCCUUAAAAUUGGAAUCUUUAAUCUUAAAAUAUAUAGAAAAACUUUAGUACAUAAAUGAUUUUAUUUUUGAACAAUGCUUCUAACAGCAUAGAAAUUUAAUUAAAAAUAUAAACAUGUGUCAGUUGACAGAAUCUUUAUAGAACCGUUUCAUCUUGCCGCCAUCUUGUAUAAAAGUUAUAUUUUAUUGUAAAAGUCAUUAUAAUACAUAUAAAUAUGUACAUAGUAUUUAUUUAUAGUAAUUUGUUGAUCCAAGUCAAAGUAAUCUGAUAUUUGCAUUUUUCAUAGAUUUGUUUUAUUUUAGCAUUAAGAUUUAGAGAAUUGGUGUCUACUAAUGAUACCCGUAACAGCUUGUGAAUGUCCCACUGCUAGGCUAAAGGCCUCCUCUCCCUUUUUGAGGAAAUGGUUUUAUCUUUAAAAAUAAUGGUUUAAUUUAACUAUAUAUAAUAUUUGCGUAUUCGUAUUCUUGUCUCCUCAUUCAAUAGUACAGUUUAAUGUGAAAUUACUAUGUUCUAAUAUAAAAGUAAAUAAUUUUCUUUUUGUAACUCAGACAAACAUAUAUAUAUGUAAUAUAUAUCUAGUCUUGUUAUAUAUAAUAAAUGAAAAAUGCAAAUAUUCAGACGAAAUUUAUCACAGCUUCGUUAAAUUUAUUAAAUUGUUUAAUAAUAUAUUAAAAUUAUUUAUUAGAUAAUUAUUUGUUUAUAUUGAGAUAUAUAUUGUACGUUUGUUUAUAUAAAAAAAUAUGUCAAUUAAAAGUUAAUCAAUACGUUGAAUUCUGUUAACUCGGUUUCGGUCAUAAGGUAUCGAAAAGUUAAGCGACGAAGCGAAGCGCAAGCGACGCGAUAUUUUGAGCUACGGCCGCAUCUGUGCCACGAUAUGCGAGGCAGUAAUACUCGUAAUAAUUCCUCAACUCUUGUUAAAUAAUAAUACGUUUAGGAAUAUUGAUUAUAAUUCAUUCAUUUAAUUACAGAAAAAUAUAUCUUUUUUUUUAUUAAAUUAUUAUCAUUAUAAUAAUUUUUUUCAAUCAUUAUAAUAAUCUUUGAAAGAAUCUAACAUAAUGAAAAAGUGUCAGAGAAACAUGAUCUGAAUUUAAUUGAUCAAAAUUAAUAUCAAUAAUUUAUUGUUACUGAAGCAACUUGGACUUUUCUUAUUUCGUGCGAAUUAUUUGCGUAAAAAUUAUCAUCAAAACGGGUACAGUAAAUUUCUCGCGACAGAAUUUAAUACGGAAAAUAAUCAAAAUCAAUACGGUGCAUGAAAAUUCAUAAAUAAUGUAAAAUUGUUAUGUUGUCGGUACUUAUAAUAUUAAUUUCCUAUGUUUAAAGAAAAUAAAUCGAUUAAAUGUCCCACUGUUGGGAAUAUCCACUCAAAUUGAGAAAGUAUUUAGAUAAUUCCAUCGCGCUGCUCUAAUGCAAGGAGGAUACAAAAGUAGCAAAUUUCAUCUGACACGUGCAACCUCCUUACUAUAUUAUCCUCAAUGUCGAGCUCGAGAUGAAUUAUAAGAACGCGUUUGAACCCGCAAUCUUCGUUCAGAAUUCAUAUGUUCUAGUCAAAGAGCCACCUCGCCUCUUAAACGUGAGAAAACAUUGAUUUUCUUAACGAAUUACUAAUAAUCAAUGGUUUACUGUGCGCGUUUCAUAAUCGCACUCUAAAAAGGUUAUGAGAAAACGCAAUGGACUAAAAAAAUGUGUAUUUGUUUUAAAUCAAGCUACCACAGAAGCGAUAGGUACAGAUUAUAAAUUUGUUUUUUUUUUUAGUCCAUUGCACUAUUUGUCUUUGAAACGACCGACACCGGAUUGUGAAUGAAGAGUCAAAUUUUGUACACUGGCAACACUUGAAAUCCUUAUAUUGAAAUAGAAAAUAUUUUUACACAAUAAAAAAAAUAUUAGGCUUAAGAAUAAAACUAAACCCGACUACUUUAUGCAUAAUGUUUAUUUUGUGAAAGUUAAUAUUUCGAUAUGAGUUUAAAAUAGCGAAAUUGUUUGCCAUAGUUUUAAACCGCCAUUAUUGAUACUAAUUAAUAUUUCUUUUGAUAAAUUUAUAAAGUCGACUCUGAUGUAUUGAGCUUUUUAUAUAAUUUCUUGUUUUCGCUGUUGCAUAUUAUACAGGAUGUUAAAAAAUCAUGUUAAUUGUAUGUUUGUAUGUAAAAUUUAAUAAGUUUUUUUUUUAAACAUAGUCCUUCGUAGUCUGGUUUAAACAAAACUUGACUCUCACACCCAUUGUGCCCUAAAUAUGAGAUGUUAUAAGAUAUUAUAAAUAAUAUUAAAAUUGCCUUUGGGCGUCCGAUAUACGUCCGUGUUACUUGAUCCGUCAAAAUUCGAAAGAAAACGGACCCUAUGAUUAUUGGUUUAAGGUAAGGUUCGUGUUUUGACGUGUUAAGUUUAAUUCGACCAUAGAACAAAUGAUUUAGAAGUUCCUUGUACUAUUUUUUUCCUUCUGAGCUCUUGGAAACUGUUUCCUUCGCACUUCACAUUGAGGUCAACCUUGCCAUAUUUUUAUGUAAUAUAUUUAUCGUUAUACUUCUUAUAUUUACAUUAUGAGUUCCUUAUAAACCGUGUUUAUAUACUCCAUUCAAUUAGUCAUUUAAAGAAACGGCGAAAAAAACUUGAGGAAUCCAUAUUUGUCUAGUAUUAUCGUUACAAACUCGACCGAUUCAUUAGAAUCGCUUAGUGUUUUGAAAUGUCAUAUUUAGCGUUAGUUAAACGGGCUUAAUUUUCUAUUGUCAUUUCUAUUAUUAUCUGUUCUAUGGUCGCCAUAGUUGAAGUUAGUUAAGAGCUUUGAGGCGUGGUUGUUUUUGUUUUAUCUUAUGUUUUCUGUAAAAAAAUUUUUAAUUUUAUUUACUGUUGAACAUUAACGCGAGGUUUCCAGACGAAAUUGUUAAUUAAUAUUACUAAUGUAUAAUUUUGUUAUCUGUUUUUCGAAUUUUACCGUUAAUGAUUAAAAUUUUGAAAUAAUAUUGAUAUUUUUUUAAGGCUUGUAUUGUUUUGAAUAGUGUACGAAAUUAAGUCUUAUUGUUUUUGCAAUAAAAUUCGAUAUUAUAUCAAGUCGGUAAGUCGGUAAAACAGUUUAGUCAAACGAAUGGAGACCUCAGAAUAUAUUUCAUCACAAGGAAUCUUACUUAGCCAAAGAUAUUAUUGCUAAAUUGUUAAAUCGCUGUAUUAUUAAUAUUAAUAAUUUAUUAUUUUAAUAUAAUUGUAUUUUUAAUAUAUGGAGCGGUUUGCGAGGCUCGUCCUCACUAACUAUAAUUGUGAAGAACGUAACAGAUUUAUAUUAUAGAAUAUAUAUUUAAAUGAGUAAAUUAUUAUUAAAAUG